GGACCCGUAGCUCAGCCAGGACAGAGCGCCGGCCUUCUAGUAGCCGGUGGUCCCGGGUUCAAAUCCCGGCGGGU
rnacentral:tRNA from 1 species